GCUGGGGUGGCGGAAUUGGCAGACGCGCCGGCCUUAGGAGCCGGUGGGAGCAAUCCCGUGCGAGUUCAAGUCUCGCCUCCAGCA
rnacentral:tRNA from 1 species